AAAAUCAGCUAUGGGUUCUGAUGCGGAUAUGGAGGAUUAUGGAUUCGAGUAUUCGGACGAGGAGCAGGAAGAACAAGAUGUUGAUAUAGAGAAUCAGUACUACAAUUCUAAAGGUAUGGUCGAAACUGAUCCCAAAGGAGCACUUGAGGGUUUUGCUGAAGUAGUACAUAUGGAGCCUGAGAAGGCAGAGUGGGGAUUUAAAGCUUUAAAGCAAACUGUUAAGCUUUACUAUAAGCUAGGGAAGUUCAAGGAAAUGAUGGAUUCUUAUAGAGAAAUGCUUACCUACAUAAAAUCAGCAGUGACACGGAACUAUAGUGAGAAGUGUAUAAAUGGUAUCAUGGAUUUUGUUUCUGGAUCAGCUAGUCAGAACUUCAGCCUUUUGCAAGAGUUCUACCAGACAACAUUGAAAGCCCUCGAAGAGGCAAAGAAUGAGAGGUUGUGGUUCAAGACAAAUCUAAAGCUUUGCAAGAUUUGGUUUGACAUGGGGGAAUAUGGACGAAUGAGCAAGAUUCUGAAAGAGCUCCACAAAUCUUGUAAAAAAGAAGAUGGCACUGAUGAUGAGAAGAAAGGGACACAAUUGUUG
rnacentral:misc_RNA from 1 species